rnacentral:rRNA from 1 species
GCUUGUCUCAAAGAUUAAGCCAUGCAUGUCUAAGUAUAAACAAAUCUAUACUGUGAAACUGCGAAUGGCUCAUUAUAUCAGUUAUAGUUUAUUUGAUGGUUCUUGCUACUUGGAUAACCGUAGUAAUUCUAGAGCUAAUACAUGCAUCAAACCUCGACUUUUUUGGAAGAGGUGUAUUUAUUAGAUGGAAACCAAUGCGGGGCAACCCGGAAUAUGGUGAAUCAUAAUAACUGUCGUAUCGAGCAAUCGAAGCGCCAUACAAGUUUCUGCCCUAUCAGCUUUGGAUGGUAGGGUAUUGGCCUACCAUGGCUUUAACGGGUAACGGAGAAUUAGGGUUCGAUUCCGGAGAGGGAGCCUGAGAAACGGCUACCACAUCCAAGGAAGGCAGCAGG